UACGGGGGGGGGCGAGCGUUGUUCGGAAUCACUGGGCGUAAAGGGCGUGUAGGCGGCUGGAUAAGUGGGAUGUUAAAUCCCCCCGGCUCAACCGGGGGACCUGCAUCUCAUACUGUUCAGCUCGAGCACAUCAGAGGAGACUGGAAUUCCCGGUGUAGCGGUGAAAUGCGUAGAUAUCUGGAGGAACACCGGUGGCGAAGGCGGCAUCCUGGACCGGCAUUGACGCUGAGGGCGCGAAAAGCUAGGGGGAGCAAACGGGG
rnacentral:rRNA from 1 species